rnacentral:lncRNA from 1 species
CGGCAUGUCCCUCCCUCGCCGCCACUCACCCGUUCUGAAAUCGUAGACGAACACCGCCGUGAGAGGCUCGUAGCUCGCCGGGUCCCACCCACCCAUCAGCACAAGCUUCCCCUCGCAGCUCGCAAGUUGACAGAACAAAGGCAGCCCGGAAGAGUAUUCCGGAACCGGGUCGACCCGGUCCCAGACAAAACUCUCCGGGUCGAACACGGUUAUCCCGUAGCUCGGUGGCGAUGACCCGUUUGCCUGUUUCUCUUCAUUGUGCGGUGGCGGUUCUU